rnacentral:rRNA from 1 species
UACGGAGGGUGCAAGCGUUGUCCGGAAUCACUGGGCGUAAAGGGCGCGUAGGCGGCUCGGUAAGUAGGGGGUGAAAUCCUGCGGCUUAACCGCAGGGCUGCCUUCUAAACUGUCGAGCUUGAGCACGGUAGAGGCAGAUGGAAUUCCCGGUGUAGCGGUGGAAUGCGUAGAGAUCGGGAAGAACACCAGUGGCGAAGGCGGCUCACUGGCCCGGUACUGACGCUGAGGUGCGAAAGCGUGGGGAGCGAACGGG